rnacentral:misc_RNA from 1 species
AUGUCAUAUCAAGGUUAUCCUUGUUAGAGGAAUUGUACAUGCAAUCUAGUUUUUGUCAAUGGGAGCUUGAAGGUCUCAGCAAUUCAAGCAACGCAAGCCUUGCUGAGUUGAAAUACCUGUCUCACUUGACAACAUUGGAAAUAGAUAUUCCAGAUGCCAAGAUGUUACCGAAAGACUUGUUCUCCAAUAAGUUGGAAAGGUAUAGGAUUGUCAUCGGAAAAGAGUGGUAUUGGGGUG